rnacentral:sRNA from 1 species
AAUCCGGUAAGUAAGGCUACCGUAGGGAUAUGGAUUGCUGCCGCGAAAUGGUGGAGACACCAUUAGAGGGUCAACAGGGGAUAUCGAAGCACAAGGUAUCACCUAACGCAAUUACACUGCCCUGCGAAGCUGAAGCUCGAACGGUG